UGUUAGCUGCUGCAGUACAGUGAAAUGAAUCAGCUAUAGGUAUACAUAUAUCCCCUCCAACCUGGCAGUUUUUGGCAAGAAGGCACUAACAAAAAAAGAUUGAAAAUUUUAAUUAGGAAUAAAUGAGAAAUCCAUUUUGACAAAAAUUAUACUAUGGAAAAAUAAAAUCUGCCUAAAGAAAAAUAUACAUGGUAAUACUGAGUGAAAAUGUUUAAUGAUUAACCUGAAAAAAACACCAAGUUGAUAUAAAAAUCCACAAUUACAAUAGGAUGUUUCAAUAUAUCCUAAUUUGUUACUAUAGAAGUUUUUUGAAAGAAUUAAUGAAACACUUCUUAAAAAUCUACAGAAGCAUUAGACCUAAAAAAACGAACAUCGUUUUCAGUCACAUACAAUUAAACAUAACUGAAAAUGUACUGAGGAAUUAUGUUCAACUAACUGAGUAAUUGGAAAUAGCCACAGUUUAUCUGGUAAGAGGAAGGUGCCGAUUCUCACAUGGAAGGACUGGGUCACAGAUACACUGAACAGCGCAGCAGAGGAACACACAGCAGAUCAUGCGGUUCCUUUGAUGGCACCAUCAUAGCUAUCGCUGUGGAAUCAGGAGCACUUGGUCACUAGCACGAUCAACAGAACCAAGUGUUUACUACACAAAUUAGACCUUAUACAAAUACAAUAUAGAGGAGGGGAGUCAGUGCGUCACCAAACUUUUUCAGCCUCAACAGUCUUAAAAUUUGUUGUCCAGUGGACACAUGAGCACUUAAAGGAGAAUCCAAACUGUGCUGGGUCUUUGUUGUGGAACAGGUCUGAGGAAGUGGAAGUCAUUUGGUGGGGGUAACCAGGAUACUUUGGACUGGCUGAGCCAGAAUCAGGAAAACGGGCUGGAACCAGGUAUAUGUGAAACUACUACGUGGCUCAAAAACUAAGGCCUUUUUACUUUGCCUUCCAGAUGUCAUGCAAGGGAGGCUAGUGAAUUCUAACAUAGAACCCUAAAAAGAACAGGUUCUAGAAAAUGUAGGUCACUGCGUAUUACUCAUGUUGACAGAACACACUCCAAGAGACCAUCUCCAAUCUACAUUUUAUGGUCCUGUCCCAGGUCUCUCUUCUUUUCAUAAAUAUAA
rnacentral:lncRNA from 1 species